rnacentral:rRNA from 1 species
GAGCCUCCUUCGGGAGGAGAUUAGAGGCGAACGGGUGACUAACACGUGGGCAAUCUGCCCUUCACUCUGGGACAAGCCCUGGAAACGGGGUCUAAUACCGGAUACGACCACCGACCGCAUGGUCUGGUGGUGGAAAGCUCCGGCGGUGAAGGAUGAGCCCGCGGCCUAUCAGCUUGUUGGUGGGGUGAUGGCCUACCAAGGCGACGACGGGUAGCCGGCCUGAGAGGGCGACCGGCCACACUGGGACUGAGACACGGCCCAGACUCCUACGGGAGGCAGCAGUGGGGAAUAUUGCACAAUGGGCGAAAGCCUGAUGCAGCGACGCCGCGUGAGGGAUGACGGCCUUCGGGUUGUAAACCUCUUUCAGCAGGGAAGAAGCGAAAGUGACGGUACCUGCAGAAGAAGCGCCGGCUAACUACGUGCCAGCAGCCGCGGUAAUACGUAGGGCGCAAGCGUUGUCCGGAAUUAUUGGGCGUAAAGAGCUCGUAGGCGGCUUGUCACGUCGGAUGUGAAAGCCCGGGGCUUAACCCCGGGUCUGCAUUCGAUACGGGCAGGCUAGAGUUCGGUAGGGGAGAUCGGAAUUCCUGGUGUAGCGGUGAAAUGCGCAGAUAUCAGGAGGAACACCGGUGGCGAAGGCGGAUCUCUGGGCCGAUACUGACGCUGAGGAGCGAAAGCGUGGGGAGCGAACAGGAUUAG